AUGUGACAGAAAAGUGUGAUAAAUUUAAGAUUUAUUUAUAAAGUAUAUCUUUCUUUAGAA
rnacentral:tRNA from 1 species